rnacentral:tRNA from 9 species
GCCGCCAUGGUGAAAUUGGUAGACACGCUGCUCUU